rnacentral:lncRNA from 10 species
GUUAGCCAGGAUUGUCUUGAUCUCCUGAGCUCGUGAUCUGCCCGCCUCGGCCUUCCAAAGUGCUGGGAUUACAGGCGUGAGCCACCGCACCUGGACAUUUUUUGUAGUUUUAGUAGAGACAGGGUUUCACCAUGUUAGCCAGGAUGGUCUCGAUCUCCUGACCUCGUGAUCUGCCCGCCUCGGCCUCCCAAAGUGCUGGAAAUGCUCGCCACCACGCCUGGCUACUUUUUCAGAAUUCACCAGCAGCCUUGGUCUUCCCACCCAAAAGGCCUGUUGCUCUGCCCUCCCACACUCCUUCAAAUGGCAAUGCAGAUCAACCAGCAAAUGCAGCCUGGCAGGGGUGGGGGUCAGGAACGCAUCCCAGUCAAGGGACAGGGAACCUGGGCACCAGACAAGAGGCGAGAAAUGUGUGAUCUAGGGAGAAAGAGACACAGGAGCCAAGGAGGAAGCCGCUCGCAGUCAUUCUCAGCAUACAUUUAUUGAGUGCUCACUGUGUGCCAGGAAGUAAGCCAGGUGCUAGAAACGGCAAAGGAGCAGGGAAGAGGCGGGUCAGCCGCUGGGUUGACCCUGGUUAAUACAGGGUACGGAUUAACCCUUCAGGCUCCCUUCCGAGGGCCUGGGCGGGGUCUUGGGGCCGCUCCUGCCCAGGUGUUCUUUCCAGCAAUGGAAAGGGAUUCAGCGAGGUAAGACGCUUCCCCUCUCCUCCAUUCAGAGAGCGGCACACAAGAAAUCUACACAGUCUUCCCAACAUGUACACACCCUGACAUGCCCGGAUGCAUCUCACACUUAGAUAAACACACACGCACACAGUCAGAGGCACGGUCCCGCAGCUGUAUGAGGAUGCGGUGUACAGGUGCUGCCUACGUGACCGUGCCUUGAGUCGCCCCACUCAGCAGAAACCUCACUCAGCAGAAACUUGUCCACCAGUGAUUGAUUAUCUCGAGCAGCUAUUUGGCCAAGUCUUACCAAAACGUGAAAGCCACAAAAGAAAAGUGAACGAGAGAAGAGUUUCUUAAGGCUUUGCUCGGAGAGGGCUUCGGAGAAGGGUGGGGUCAGCAGAUACAGACCUUACUUUUUUUUUUUUUUUUUUUUUUUUUGAGACGGAGUCUUGCUCUGUCGCCCAGGCUGGAGUGCAGUGGCACAAUCUCGGCUCACUGCAAGCUUCACCUCCCGGGUUCAUGCCAUUCUCCUGCCUCAGCCUCCCAAGUAGCUGGGACUACAGGUACCCACCACCACGCCCAGCUAAUUUUUUUUUUUCGUAUUUUUAGUAGAGAUGGGGUUUCACUGUGUUAGCCACGUUGGUCUCGAUCUCCUGACCUUGUGAUCCGCCCGCCUCAGCCUCCCAAAGUGCUGGGAUUACAGGCGUGAGCCACUGCGCCCGGCCCUAAUUUUUGUAUUUUUAGUAGAGUUGAGGUUUCACCAUGUUGGUCAGGCUGGUCUCAAACCCCUGACCUCAAGUGAUCCACCCCGCCCCCGCUUCGGCCUCCCAAAGCACUGGGAUUACAGGGAUGAGCCACCUCGCUGGGACCAGACCUUACUUUCUUGACUUGGCCACAAGUCUGUCCUGCUCAGAGCUGCUGAAAGUGGCUCUCCUGUUGUAUGGGCUUGGGUGUGGUGUGGUGGCCCUUUCCCUGUCCCAGCUGCCUUCUUCCUGGGCACUGAAAACGAUGCUACCAUUGUUUUUUUUUUUUUUUUUGAGACGGAGUCUCGCUCUGUCG